GGAGGGAGGUAUGGUUGUCUGUCUGAAUGGAGGGAGGGAGGUAUGGUUGUCUGUCUGAAUGAAGGGAGGUAUGGUUGUCUGUCUGAAUGGAGGGAGGUAUGGUUGUCUGUCUGAAUGGAGGGAGGUAUGGUUGUCUGUCUGAAUGGAGGGAGGUAUUGUUAUCUGACUGAAUGGAGGGAGGGAGGUAAUGUUGUCUGUCUGAAUGAAGGGAGAUAUUGUUGUCUGACUGAGUGGAGGGAGGUAUGGUUGUCUGUCUGAAUGGAGGGAGGUAUGGUUGUCUGACUGAAUGGAGGGAGGUAUUGUUGUCUGUCUGAAUGGAGGGAGGUAUGGUUGUCUGUCUGAAUGGAGGGAGGUAUGGUUGUCUGUCUG
ensembl:lncRNA